UCUUGCUGUUCCCCAUCUCUGCUGGUUCCUUUCUGAAUCCAAGCACCAGAAAGAGCAGAAAAAAAAAAAAAGACUGGGAGAUUUAAAACAGAAGAGGAGAAGGCGAUGUGACCACAGAGGCAGAGAUUGGAGUGAUGUGGCCAUAGCUGAGGAAUGCGGGCAGAUGGCAGAAGCUGGAGGAGGCCUGGGAAGGAUUCUCCGUCAGAGCCUGUGGAGGGACCAUAGUCCUGCGGACACCCUGACUUCAACCCAGUCAAACUGAUUUUGGAUUUCUUGUUCCUGGAACUGUGAG
rnacentral:lncRNA from 1 species